rnacentral:tmRNA from 1 species
GGGGAUGAAAGGAUUUCGACGGGGAUUUUGAACCCAGAUAAGCGAGCAGUGGAGUGGCACCACUAUAAAAGUCACAACUUAAAAAUAACUGACAAUAAUAAAACAGUUUUAGCUGCUGCUUAAUGGCGGCUCAUCCUGACUGAAAGUACCGCGAUUCAGUUAAGGGUGUCAUCUUAGCGGUGCACCGGCACAAGUGAGAGCCUUGUAGCUUGUACGGACUUAAAGGGCUACUCUCUGGUUUAGCCUGUUUAUCGGCGAUUCCAGAGAGGAAAUUUAAAAGAUAAACUACGCUCGUAGAAGGUUUGGGGAAUGGGUCUUCGGACGCGAGUUCGAAUCUCGCCAUCUCCACCA